GUUUUAAUAGUUUAAUAAAAAACUUUGGUUUUGUAAACCAAAAAUGAAAUAAAUUUCUUAAAACU
rnacentral:tRNA from 2 species